CAAACCCCUUCCAAUUUUUCAUCGGCGAGAGCGAUAUUACUCUCUGCUCAAACUGGCCAGUUUCAUUGACCGCAAAUUCGUCGCCUUUGUUCAGUUAGGGAGCGCAAUCCAGGCUAUAUGCUCACGGCCCGCCUCCACGUUGUGCCCCGCGUCGGCGGCGGCCCCCAGGCAGUGGCCCAGCCUCGCCCACGCCAGGGGCGACUCCGGCCUCCGCCGCGCCCAUGGACAGCCUCGAGCUCUGCCCGCGUCUCCCAGCUCGCCGCCGCCUCGAGAACACCGAGCUCCGCGUCCCCGACGACCAACCAGGGCUCCGACAUCGCCGUCGCCGAGCAGCUCCGCCGUCUCCACCUUGGGCAACCCAAUCCUUGGGUGCUGUGCCAAUCCGGUCCAUGACGCUCACCUGUUCGGUCAUAUGCUUGCUGGUGUCCAUCAGUCCAUGCAAUGCAAGCUGCAGCGUGUUCGUGUUUGUGGUUCGAGUUGGAGGUGUACAACCAGAUUUAGGUUCAACCAGGGUGCCUGAUGAAAAGUCUGGCAUCUGUGUUUUCGCCCACUAAGGUUUUCUGAAUCUAAAUGAAAUUACUGAUGAGUAUGACCUCACCUGAAUAUUGUUCAUCUUUGAAGCUGCUACCUCGCCAGAAGGACCUGUAGUUGACAGUAUGUUCCUAUGGUCCUACCUAAAGGUCGAUCUCUUCUUUCCACCGCAUGCAGCUACCCCUUCAUCUUAAAUUUUGCAUGCGUUUUUAUGUGGUGUAAAAUUUUAUACGAAAUUAAUAACCCAUUCUGUUUAGUGUUGUCUUAUGAGGUGCUGGUGUGGGAUUGCCUGUGUAAAAGAGAAGAUGAUCAUCUUGCAAAAGUGAAGCAUUUGUAGUGUCUUCAGUUUAAGACUGAGAUUCUGUUGUAUUAUGUUGUCCUGGAGAUCGGAAUUAUGAUAUCUUUCAGGCAGAGGGUUCACAAUCCAAGCAAGGCCCCGAGUUGCCCCUUUUAAUCCCAACUUGUUACACUGGUGAUAUUGGAUCCAAUGAUGUGCAACAAAAGGAAAAAAAGAUAGCUCUGCAAAUAAGCUUUGCAACUCGGUUAUCUGAAUCCCUGAAAAAUAAGCUCUGCAACUGUGCAAGACGAUGGGUGGAUUCUUUUUUUUUUCGAGAGCACGCGCAAAGCGUGCCUUAUCUUUAUAGAAGAGAGCAACAACAUUUACAAGACUCGGCGACCAGAUGCGAACAUCAUGUCCGAGAACCCACACACGCCCUAGCUCCGCCUAAGCCUACUCUCUCGCGACAUCAAAACCUCUCCUAGCUCUCUCCCAAAGCUGGAACUCAUCUCUGAUCUCCUGCAACAUUUGCUCCACGCUCUUC